rnacentral:rRNA from 1 species
AGUGAACGCUGGCGGUAUGCCUAACACAUGCAAGUCGAACGGCAGCACAGUAAGAGCUUGCUCUUACGGUUGGCGAGUGGCGGACGGGUGAGGAAUGCAUCGGCAUCUACUUUUUCGUGGGGGAUAACGUAGGGAAACUUACGCUAAUACCGCAUACGACCUACGGGUGAAAGCAGUGGAUCUUCGGACCUUGCGCGACUGAAUGAGCCGAUGCCGGAUUAGCUAGUUGGCGGGGUAAAGGCCCACCAAGGCAACGAUCCGUAGCCGGUCUGAGAGGAUGAUCAGCCACACUGGAACUGAGACACGGUCCAGACUCCUACGGGAGGCAGCAGUGGGGAAUAUUGGACAAUGGGCGCAAGCCUGAUCCAGCAAUACCGCGUGAGUGAAGAAGGCCUUCGGGUUGUAAAGCCCUUUUGUUGGGAAAGAAAAGCAGCAGGUUAAUACCCCGCUGUUCUGACGGUACCCAAAGAAUAAGCACCGGCUAACUUCGUG